CUUAUCAUGGACACAUUUUCAUGACACUAAGUAGCCACAUUAUCAUUUUAAUGAUUGUACAGUAGUCCAUUAUAUGAAUUUAUCAUUAUUAAACCAAUUUCCUGCUAGUGGACAGUUAACUUCUUUUAUUGUUUUGCUAUUUAUUAUAUAUUAUAAACAGGGAUGCACUGCCCAUCCUUUUGAUACAUUUUGGUGUACUUGUUUGAUUAUUUCCUUCAGAUUCCUGGAAAAUAAACUGUUCGAUCAAGGUGUGUGCAAUUUGAGAUGUUGGUAGAUAUUGCCAAGUUACCCUCCAUUUGCCCGCCCGCCAUCAGUGUGUGAGGAUAGUAGAAGCUGUCGUUGGGUUAGUUGGGUGAAAUCACUAAUGGUUUAAGAAACUUUUUGUUUCCUCCAGUGACAGCGAGAGACAGGCUGACAUGAGAGAUUCGGCUGUGCCCUGCGCUAGAGAGCUUACUGGUAGAAGAAUUAAUCCCUGAAGAGACUGAAGUGAGUUUCAGGAUGGCCAAAGAGGAGCCCCCGAGUAUCUCAAAGGACUUGCAGGAGCUGCAAAGGAAGCUGUCUUUGUUGAUAGAAUCCAUCCAGAAUAACUCGGAGGUGGUAGCCCUUAUGAAGUCUCCAGUGGGGCAGUACCUGGACAAGCAUCCUUUUGUGACUCUUACCCUGCUGCUGUUUGCUGCUAUGUCGGCCAUUCCUGUUGGGCUCUUCCUGCUCCUCGUGGUGCUUACCUUCCUGGCCGCUUUUGUGGGAGUCAUAUUACUGGAAGGACUGGUCAUCUCUGUGGGCGGCCUCUCACUGCUUUGUGUCCUCUGUGGCUUGGGCUUCAUGUCGCUCAUCAUAUCGGGGACAAUCAUAGUGUCCUACAUGGUGGUCUCCAGCCUCGUCAACUACUGGUUUUCUCCCAGAAUCUGAGUCCAAGUGGAAUGUGACUCCAUUGUGCUUCAUUUAAGCUCUUGCUGAAUUGAUGAUAGUGGCUAAUACCCAUAGUGGCUAAUACCCAUCCAGCACUUGCUCUGCACCAGGGACUCCGUUAUGUACUUUCCAGGCCUUGGCUCAUGUAAUCCUCACAAGCACCCUCCGAGGCAGACCAUUGACACAACAAAACUCUAGUGGCGACUGUCAGCUGGCUAUGAAGACUUAGAGGGGUUCUACCAGGAAUGACUGGCUGAACGGAACCAGAGCUUUUUGCCAAGCACUUCUGGAAGGCUGUUGGAUCAUACACAGCCCUCAGGAUUGUGACUGAGAAGGGGGCCAGGUAGUCAAGCGCUCCUUGGAGGUGUCCUCUAGCCUUCUUCACUUGUUUGUAGGAUCCUGCAGUGGCUACCUUGGGGAUUUUGUUGCUCUUGUGUCAGUUCUGUGGGCUGAUCCACCCUCACUUGGAGAGUCUGCAGAGAGCUGCGGUGGCUCAUCAGCUCCUCCUGCCUCUCACCCCCUCCUCCCCAAAGAUGCAGACUUGACCUUGGGAGGAUCCUGAGCCUCUAGAGCCCAGCAGCUUGACCUCAAAGGCUCAGAUCUUGUAUCCAAGGGCCCAAUUUGGGGCAACUGUGGAUUGUUUUUUCUUUUUCUUUCUUUUUUUUUUAGAAACGAGAGAAGCUGUUUAUUUCUUCACUCAUUUGAAACAAGAGAACAAGACAUGGGGAAAAAAAAAUCCCAAACAGAGCAAGCUCUUCUGUGGUAUUAGCUUUUUGUCAGGAAGAAUAGCAACAUUUGGCAGUAAUGGCCUCUCAGACAAAGUUAGAAAAUAGAAUCCAAACUUAGCUUUAUGGCCAAGAGCAAUUUUUAAAAGUCUAAAGGUAUAGUUUCCACUGUUGAGUACUAUUUCAUGCUGUUACUCUUUUAAAUAUUUGCACUUGAUACUUUUGUAUUGUUUUAAAGAACUUGUCUUGUUAAGCCAUUUCUUUAAAAAGUCUUA